GUCCCUGUACUGCAAUGGAUAGCAUGUUGGACUUUUAAUUUAAAGGACGUGGGUUCGAAUCCCACCUGGGAUG